UUGGUCAGACACCAUUUUACACUCUUGAAAAUUCAUAGUGGAGCUUGUGGCCAGAAAUACCCCAUGACUUGAUUGCAAAGUACAAAGGAUUAUUGACCUGGUUGGAAAAAUACCGGUUACCUUUCUUCUGUAAAACCAACUUGUGUUUCCAUUACAUUCUCUGUCAGGAGUUCAUCAGUUUCGUUCAGUCCCCAGAAGGAGCCAGAUUGGCCUCCCUGCAGUUCCUCAGACAUAGUGGACACAUUCCCAGUUCAAGGCUUUGCACUGGCUGUUCACGCUGCUGAAUACAUGGAAGGCUCCUCAUCCAUGUAUUCACAUGGACCUCCGUUCACCUCAAGUCUCUGGGCAGUUCUGACCUCCUCAUUGAAGGCUACCCUGAUGGCCCAAUGCCCACUCAUCCACCCCUGUCUUAGCUCUCCCUACGUCCUCCUUUCCUUUUUUCCUGUAAUGCUUAUAACUUUCAUUCUCACUAGAGGAUGUAUUUAUUAUGCUUAUUGUAUAUUGUCUCUCUCCUCUGCUAGAGUAUAAGCUCCU